GGGGCUGAUCGGUUUCGACAGUGCUUGUGAAUCUGCGAGAAGCGGGCCGAGGAUGCAGGGUUAUCUCGUAAACGCCCCCUGCAAAAACAAUAAGUGCCAACGCUAAGCGCACUGACUUCGCCCUCGCUGCCUAAGCGAGCCCGAUAGUCCGUCAGACCGUGGGUGAUCCCGACACGGAUUCUGGCGUCAUCUAGGGAUCUUGCUGCGUGACGGUGUCGAGACGUCACGCGGGACUUUUCCUCGACUGGGCUCGUCGACCUAUGUGUCUGUGCUGAAGGUCGGAGCCGAGUAGAACGCCCUCACAGACUGCGCCCGGAGAAGCCCCAGAGACUCAGCAUUGGACGGGGGUUCGAUUCCCCCCAGCUCCACCG
rnacentral:tmRNA from 2 species